ACAGUGGUGGUUCAGAGUUAGAAUUCUCACCUUUCCAUGCAGGAGAUCUGGGUUUGAUUCCCAACCAAUGUA
rnacentral:tRNA from 1 species